GACCUGGUGGUGAAAUGAAUCACACCUGCUUUGCCUGUUUUUCAGGUCAUGGUGUUCUGUGGGAGUCCCCGGUUUGAGUCCGGGCCAGGUCA